rnacentral:sRNA from 1 species
GUCGUAGGGUACCCCAUUGCC